GGGGGCGUAAAGGUUUCGACGUGGGUUUGGAACUUGAGGCUGCAUGUCGUGUUACUCUGGGUCACGUAAAAACUGGGGAACUUUAAAAUAAACGCAGACGAUAAUUUCGCGAUAGCAGCCUAGUUGCUGCUCGUCCCUCUUAGUCCUCCUGCCGACUAAGACUGGACGUCAUUAUGCAGGGAACUACUUUAGGGGUGUCUCGACUUAAAGUAGAUUAAUUGGGACUGGCUAAGCAUAGAGCCUGCCACUUGGCGCUAUGUGAGGUGAGAAUAUUAGUGAAGUUGGCUAAGCAUGUAGAUGCAGCAAGGAAAAGAUUUGCGGACAGGGGUUCGACUCCCCUCGUCUCCACCA
rnacentral:tmRNA from 1 species